GCCCGUAUAGCUCAGUGGUAGAGCGCAUCACUCGUAGGAAUCCGCUUCCAUAGACAUGAUGAGGUCCACGGUUCAAUCCCGUGUGGGGGCA